AUCACAGGGAAUCUUGCUAAAAUGCAGAUUCUGUUUCAGUAGAUCAAGAUGGGGACAGAGAUUCUGCAUUUCUGACAAGCUCCCGGGUGAUGCUCA
rnacentral:pre_miRNA from 1 species